UGGAAGUAAAAGUCGUAACAAGGUCUCCGUUGGUGAACCAGCGGAGGGAUCAUUACCGAGUUUACAACUCCCAAACCCAAUGUGAACCAUACCAAACUGUUGCCUCGGCGGGGUCACGCCCCGGGUGCGUCGCAGCCCCGGAACCAGGCGCCCGCCGGAGGGACCAGCCAAACUCUUUUCUGUAGUCCCCUCGCGGACGUUAUUUCUUACAGCUCUGAGCAAAAAUUCAAAAUGAAUCAAAACUUUCAACAACGGAUCUCUUGGUUCUGGCAUCGAUGAAGAACGCAGCGAAAUGCGAUAAGUAAUGUGAAUUGCAGAAUUCAGUGAAUCAUCGAAUCUUUGAACGCACAUUGCGCCCGCCAGUAUUCUGGCGGGCAUGCCUGUCCGAGCGUCAUUUCAACCCUCGAACCCCUCCGGGGGGUCGGCGUUGGGGACCUCGGGAGCCCCUAAGACGGGAUCCCGGCCCCGAAAUACAGUGGCGGUCUCGCCGCAGCCUCUCCUGCGCAGUAGUUUGCACAACUCGCACCGGGAGCGCGGCGCGUCCACGUCCGUAAAACACCCAACUUCUGAAAUGUUGACCUCGGAUCAGGUAGGAAUACCCGCUGAACUUAAGCAUAUCA
rnacentral:rRNA from 1 species